rnacentral:misc_RNA from 1 species
GAUCAUUAUUGAAGCAAAAAUAUAUAGUCUUGGAUUUGUAAAAGAAUCCAAGCUAUUUAUAUUCUUCUAUAAACCCACUGUGAACCAAUUAAGAGACUAAAGUAUAUCCCUCACGGGACUACUUCUGUUUCGCUUUAAUCGGACAGAAUACAUGUAAUGUGUAUACUGGUCGAGGACGAACCAAUUUGUUUUGGUCGGCCGAAUUACCUUUUUAAAUUCAAAAAGAUGAAGAGAAUGACAAGAAAUUUGAUAAACAAAUUAAAACUUUCAGUGACGGAUCUCUUGGCUCUCGCAUCGAUGAAGAACGCAGCAAACUGCGAUACGUAAUGUGAAUUGCAGAAUACAGUGAAUCAUCGAAUCUUUGAACGCACCUUGCGCUUUGGGGUACUCUCCAAAGCAUGCCUGUUUGAGUGUCAUGUUAACUCUCAAAAAUUACAUAUUAAUUUAUUAGUGUGUGAUUUUUGGAUCAUGGCUGUUUGCUGGUUAUUUGUUUAAUCGGCUCAGCUGAAAUUGAAUAGCUGACUUGUUAUUUCUUGAGAAGUUAAGAAGUUUGUCAGAAUCUUCGGCGUGAUAAUUUGUUACGCAGUUUUUCUGACAAUAUAAACGACUUUAUUUCAAAGGAUAUAAGAAAAGUUGCUUCGAACUUUUAUUAUUACUAUAAUCUAGAC